rnacentral:rRNA from 1 species
UACGGAAGGCAGCAUGGGGAAUAUUGCACAAUGGGCGAAAGCCUGAUGCAGCUAUGCCGCGUGUAUGAAGAAGGCCUUAGGGUUGUAAAGUACUUUCAUCGGGGAGGAAAAAAACAAAACUAAUAAUUUUAUUUCUUGACGUUACCCGAAAAAGAAGCACCGGCUAACUCCGUGCCAGCAGCCGCGGUAAUACGGAGGGUGCUAGCGUUAAUCAGAAUUACUGGGCGUAAAGAGCACGUAGGUGGUUUUUUUAAGUCAGAUGUGAAAUCCCUGGGCUUAACCUAGGAACUGCAUUUUGAAACUGAAAUACUAGAGUAUCGUAGAGGGAGGUAGAAUUCUAGGUGUAGCGGUGAAAUGCGUAGAUAUCUGGAGGAAUACCUGUGGCGAAAGCGGCCUCCUAAACGAAUACUGACACUGAGGUGCGAAAAGCGUGGGGAGCAAACAGGGAUUUAGGAUACC